rnacentral:piRNA from 1 species
UCCACAAGGUUUCAAUGCCUGGUGU